UACGGGGGGGGCAAGCGUUGUUCGGAAUUACUGGGCGUAAAGGGCUCGUAGGUGGCCAACUAAGUCAGACGUGAAAUCCCUCGGCUUAACCGGGGAACUGCGUCUGAUACUGGAUGGCUUGAGUUUGGGAGAGGGAUGCGGAAUUCCAGGUGUAGCGGUGAAAUGCGUAGAUAUCUGGAGGAACACCGGUGGCGAAGGCGGCAUCCUGGACUAACACUGACGCUCAGGCACGAAAGCGUGGGGAGCGAACAGG
rnacentral:rRNA from 1 species